rnacentral:ncRNA from 1 species
UGCGGCGCCGAUGUCCUCGGCGCCGUAGUUUUAGCCGGAAACCGGGCCCAAAAAGCUCGGAAUUCGCCUUGAAAUCGAUGACCAGCAGGGGCAUCCGGGCUGGUGCCCGGACUAUCUGCGGGGCCCGUGGUGGCUUGCUCGAGUCGCUGCCUCAGCGCUCAGGCAAGUCAUGCCGCGGUUUCCACGCCGGUGGUGUCCCCUUAUAGAGGGUGACCA